CCGGAGGAGAUCAGAACAGGCCCUACCUCUCACACGCCUCUCCGCACGUCCCUCUCUCGCCCCAACCGCUCGCCCCGCCGCCGCUCGCCCCUUCACGGCCCCGCCGCCGCCCCUUCUCGCCUUCACGCCCCGCCGCCCCUUUGCCUCGCUGCCGAGUGCCGACCACGCUGCCGCACGCACCCGGCAACCCCUCGCCUCUCCGGUGCCUGCCUCGCCUCCCUCACGCGAACCUGCUCUACGCGCCGCCCCUCAUCCUCGGCGGCGAGAGGUACGCGGGAGCUGCCGCCGCCGCCGCUGCCAGGGGCGUGGACGCGUGUGGGCCUACUGCCGGCGUACGAGGUCGCGCCUGAGCCUGCGGCACGGUGGCGCGGGGCCCUCCGCCGCCAGUUCCCUGUCGGUUCGAGAUCCCCCAUUGCUCUCCUGCCUGCCGUCGUUGGUCUUCCUGCUACCAGCCCCGCCCUAUCUCCAAGACAACGUUCUGCUCCAUCCGUUGGUAAGUAGCGACCAUGCCAUCUCUCCCCCUUUCAAUCCCUAUAGUACUUUUCCCAUGGUGUUUCUUUUCAAUGGUGAUGAAACUCAGGCGCCCAUGACCACCGUGUUUCUUUUCCUUUUAUUCCUUGGCCAUAGUUUUCAUGAAUCGCAAUGGUUUUCAUUAGCUGUAAGCAUGUAACUGAUAGAGUGAGGCAUGGCCGUUUGCUUUGAUCAAAUCCAACCCCAUUAUCAAAUGAAAUGCUAGGAGAAAAUAAGUUGGUAGCACUUCUCUUUUUCCAAAAGAGCUGGCAUGCUGGGCAGCAGUGCUCUUUUGGUUUUGCUUAGCUGCAGGAUAAAAUGAUCACCCAGUUAGUCAUGGGCUCAUGGCUGGGUUAAAUGUAUUCAGAAGAAGAAGUCUCUGACCGCCACACACCUGCCGUCGACCAGCACAUCAGGUAACCCACCCGCUGUCCACCACUGGAUUCCGUUUCGCCUUCAAACUGCGUUUAUGCAUAAAUUCAGAGUCACGGAAUAAAAAUGCUUCUUUGCUGUGAUAAUCUAAAAUUUCCAAAGAUUUAUUCCAAGUGAUUCUCCAGAUUUGUCCCCUCGGAGUAGUCAAUUCUUUUUUGUAGUCAAUUCUUUGCUGUAGACAAGAUGGUGCUCCUCGGAGUAGAAGCUGAUGUACUGUAGUCAUCUUCAAGUGCUGGUAGAAGCUGAUGUAGUCGAUUCUUUGGAAUAAAUUGCAGCAAAUUACAGUACGGUGCUGUUCAGUACGAAUUGGAUUUGUUGUAAAUUUUACAGGUUGACUAAGGUGCUGUUGAGAUGACUACGCUGCUGUCAAUUUAAAUAAACCUGAAUUGACUUUGGAGUAAAACAGGGCAGACUUCAACUUCAAACAAUAGCAAUUUUAGAAGAAGAGAUUGGUGGUGUUAAAGGACAUUUUGGACCAAUCAAUGAAUUAGCAUUUAAUCCUGAUGGGAGGAGGUCUUGAAAGUAGCAUAUACAUCAAAUAUUUGUGGACAUCAUGCAUGGAUGAAAAUCUGGGAACAGUUAGUUUGUUGGCUAUGUCUUGUCAUAGCUGGGUGCUCCUGAUUCAAAAGAUUUAAAGGUGACCUCGUCAAAGCAUUGCUUAGCAAAAAGAACACUGCAGUGCAGAGGAGGAGCAGCAGCAGCACGGGCAUGGGAGAAGCAUGUGAGACAGCAGAGCUCAACCAACGGGAGCUCGAGGAGAAGCAAGAGCCGGAGCUCAAGGAGAAGCAGUAGCCGGAGCAUGAGGAGAAGCAGCAGCGGGAGCUAGAGGCACGCGGGAGAGCAGUUUUGGGCGGCGGCGAUGGCUACGGCGCAGGUUUGGGCGCUGGGAGGGGAUCUCGGCGGGGUAGGUCUGGGCGGCUGUGUCGGAGCAGUUCUUGGCGGCGGCGGUGAUGCCUGUAGGCAAUCGCAGCUGGCCGGCGCCGGCACCUGGCAACGUGCGGGUGACGAGCGGAGGAAGAAGACGGGGCGGAUUGGUAUGUUUGAGACACUUUUGAAAUUGCGAGGGCUUUUUUGCAAAUUUGCCAAUGAACUGGGCAUGCGACAAGAAUUUCGGGACUGAGAGAGUAUUGUUUUGUUAUUCUCAUUUAUGAGCACGGAUAUGUCAACCAUCAAACAUAUUAGAGUUGACAGCCAAGAAAUACCUACUUAAGCAUUAACAUUGUAUAUAGACAAGAAAUACCUACUUAAGCACGGAUAUGUCAACCAUCGAA